rnacentral:rRNA from 1 species
GAUGAACGCUGACAGAAUGCUUAACACAUGCAAGUCAAUGGGGAAACGGUGCUUGCACCGUGAUAACCAUGGCGGACGGGUGAGUAACGCGUAAAGAACUUGCCUCUUAGUCUGGGAUAACAGAUGGAAACGACUGAUAAAACUAGAUAUUAUUAAAGUUUCGCAUGAAGCUUUAAUGAAAAGAGAUGCUAAGAGAGAGCUUUGCGUCCUAUUAGUUAGUUGGUGAGGUAACGGCUCACCAAGACGAAGAUAGGUAGCCGGUCUGAGAGGAUGAACGGCCACAAGGGGACUGAGAUACGGCCCUUACUCUUACGGGAGGCAGCAGUGGGGAAUAUUGGACAAUGGAGGAGACUCUGAUCCAGCAAUUCUGUGUGCACGAAGACGGUUUUCGGAUUGUAAAGUGCUUUCAGCAGGGAAGAAGAAAGUGACGGUACCUGCAGAAGAAGCGACGGCUAAAUACGUGCCAGCAGCCGCGGUAAUACGUAUGUCGCGAGCGUUAUCCGGAAUUAUUGGGCAUAAAGGGCAUCUAGGCGGAUAUACAAGUCAGGGGUGAAAACUUAGGGCUCAACUCAAAGCUUGCCUUUGAAACUGUAUAUCUAGAGUGCUGGGGAGGUGGACGGAACUACACGAGUAGAGGUGAAAUUCGUAGAUAUGUGUAGGAAUGCCGAUGAUGAAGAUAGUCCACUGGACAGCAACUGACGCUGAAGUGCGAAAGCUAGGGGAGCAAACAGG